rnacentral:misc_RNA from 1 species
GGGUCUGCCCUGCAUCAGUCUCUACUGCGUCCCUUCGAAAGGGGACGCUCCUCCUCGUCUUUGACAAGCGCGCGGUUAAAAUACCCAAUGGGGGGUUGACAGUUAUCAAGGAAACUGAUAGUAAUAUAAUAAAUAAAUAAAUUAUAACUAACACGGACACACGAGUACGGAUUUUUUCUAAACGACCAUUUUAAUCAACAUAUAAUUCGUACGAUAUUGGUUACAAUUUUUUAAAAAGUAUACUUAGAAACCGCGAUCCGAGACAGAAUAAUACCAAGAUAUAUGUAUACACGUGUAUGUAUUGCUCUUCGUCGCAAGAUCGUCCAUCGGUUUUCCUAGGACACGAAACUGUAGAAAAGACCGUUUGUUCCGUUGUAUAUUUUCAACUUUUUUUUAACGUAAUUAUUUUAUUUGGACAAUUGAUUGUAUUAAGUAAUAUUGUGCCAUAAUUCGCGUGUGUGUGGUCACGGUGGAUUGAUGAAAGUUCUCUUUUUUCAUUCCCCCGCCACUUGACCGUUUUUUUUUUCCUUUUUUUUACGGUAAUGUAAAAAUUGAAUCAGAAAAAAAACUGUAGAAGAUCUGAGACAUCGAAACGAAAACUUUGAGGAAGAAAACGUCGAGGGUCGAUUGAUUCAGUGUGCUGUUUUUUUUUUUAUUGUUGUUGUUUAUUUGACAAUAAGUGACGUUUGGAAACGUUGGGUCUUCUUGUCGUCUCUUUUUUGUUUUAGCUCUAAUUACGGUUAGUUUUCCUUUCUUCUUUCUUCUCGUUACACACAGCGCGAACGACGAGAAGUCGUACGUUGAUUAUUAUUUACCAAGAUUUUAAAACCAAUUUGGAAAAUAUUAUAUGUAAACGAACACUGUAUCUAGUUUAUUAGUUUUAUUUAACUACUGUUCGUGAAACGGGAUUCGACAACGACUACGCGGACGUGAAAAUAAAAAUUUUGUUGUAUCGAGUGCUCUGCGGACGCCACAAAGCAGCGGCUCUAGUCCUAAAUAUCGAUCUGCUGGCGUGUGCGACCUACUCUAUAGUACGUUCGCCUCGAAACAUAUUGUGGAAUGACAGUUGACAACAGUCCAGCUGUCGCUAUCAUCGUACAAUUGACAUCUGUCAAUAAUCAUUUGUUGACUCUUACGUUGAGGUUGACGACGAGGACGACAACAACAACAACGCUAACGCCAAUGCCAACGCCAACGAGUCGAAUAACCGAUUCUAACCGUCGAAUUCAACGACAACGAGCGAGAACGUGCAUUUUUUGCUCCGCCGAUAAUCGAGGAUACCUGUAAAAUUACCAACGCUUUCGCCGUAACGUUGUUAACGGUCGAAUUUUUUUGAAGACAUUCCGUUCGUUUUCCAUUUAGUUCUUUUUUUUGUUUUUACAAGAAGAACGUACGUCGAGAGUAAAAAAAAAAAGGUCAAAAAAAAGGAAGUACAAUACGAAUAGAAAAAAUGUGGGCGAUAGUAAAAAUCGGCAGGACUUCGCUCAGAGUUUCUUCGCGUUCGAUAAAAUCAAGUCAAAGCUUGAUCGGAACUUAAAGAAGGAAAAGAUUGAAGAAACAACGCAACACAAGUCAACUAUUAUUGUGCUAUUGUAGUACUACCGGCGAAGAAGACAAAUGAAUGAAAAAUUCCAAUAAAGUGUAACUCUAAAUUUGAGGAUAAAAAGAAGAAAUCGAAAAAUAUAAAUACGGAGGCGCAAGAAUAAUGAUUCCCCGUCAAAACUUGGUGAUAAAAAAAAAUUAAUUUGAAGAAUAUUACAACGAUGAGAAAAUCCGCCUGAGAGGAAAACAAUAAGGAAGACAAUUCAUUAUAGAAAUUGAUCGUUUUUUAUACACGUACCGUAACACGCUCCUAUUAAGAAUCAGUAAGAAGUAAGGAAGAAGCUCGUAAGCUUUUGAGACAAUAAAGGUGUUUCUAGACGGCUAAUAUCUACCGUUAAUUACCAACGUCAUGGUUUCGCGAUACGGUGUUACGAAGGAGGGUGCAGUCGGUGUUACGGUCGGCGUCGGGACGAUGCACUGUUUGCUACCCCAUUGCGGUGGGCCCCACCACAUGUCACCACACGGGCAUAACCCGAGCCACAAUCACAUUCACCACCAUAAUCAUCACAAUCAUCACAACCACCACCCGCCGGCAUCGCCGAGUCCUCACGGUCAUCUAAGUCAGAUGAAUCACGCCCAACAUCAGUUGACAAUUAAUAUUAACCACAAUCAUCAGCUGCAGUCCCAGCAGACUCAGCAUCAGCAGCAACAACAACAACAACAACAACAACAACAACAACAGCAGCAGCAACAGCAACAACAACAACAACAACCUCAGUACAGGAUCAUCACGGCCAGUGCCAGAUCAGACGUUAACUUUCAUGUACCUGGGCAGAACUACGGAGGUCAACCUGGCGGCCAGGUCGGUGGGGGUGGAGGUAGCGUAGGAGUACCCGGGGGUAGAGGGCCCCCGCCGAUAGCGGGAAUACAAAGUAUUGGUCAAUCUGCUCCCGGUAUACCGCAGGGGAAUCAAACAGGGGCGCAACAACCUCCGCCUCAAUCGCAGACACCUGGGGUACAGUCGCAGCAGUCUCAGGGACCACCUCAGACUACUACGCCUCCUGGUCAUACUCAAUCGCCUCAGGAAAUGGGGAAACAACCUCAUCUCCAGGCACAAUCAUUAUCCCUGCAACCCAACAUGUACCCUACCAGUCAACCAAGACCAGCGUCCCAGGUUUAUUAUCCAUCUGCAAUGAGGCCGCAGACGGCAAGGGGUAAUCACAGGGGGGGUCAGGGGGGUGGUGGUGCUCAAGUUGUGAGCAUACCAUCAGUGGGCGGGGGUGGAGGCCAGCAAACGGCCAUGUUUCCGCACCCUGCCAGUUUGCCGAUGGCACCCGGCACCUUGUAUAUGUCGAGCCAAGUGCCUUUGCAUCCUUCGCACAGUGGCACGCACCAACCACCUGUUUAUCCGAUGAACACUCAGAUGCAGCCCAUUCAGGUAGUAUUUCCUGGGCCACCACAGAGACCUCAGGGCCACCAAAGUCAACAGUUUUUCUCGACUUAUCAACCCACCAUUAUACAGUCGAACCUCUAUGGAUUUAGUUCGGGAACUCCACACCAUACAUAUUACUACCAACAACAAGGGCCUCAGGUGAAUUUGAGCAGACCAACGGCAGGGUCGAUAAGCGGAGGAGCUCCGCAUGUUGGAAGUCCUCUACCUGGCGGCCAAGGAGCUAGCAUUGUUCAACAGGGUAGCAUUCAGCAACCUUCUCAGCAACCUCAGCAAAUGCCAACGAUGGCCCUACCAUUAGUUCAAACAGAUGUGUACCAAGGCGACAAUGGCGGUAUACAAAAUCCUGGGAUAAGUGCUGCAAACCGAAAAAAACCGAGAAGAACGAAAGCUAUUCUGGAUAUUGUAGAUCCAAAAACAGGAAAAAAUAUAAGUGAAGAAAUUUACCAUGACGAUGUUGCAACUCAAAGUGGAGAUUCCAGUAAUCGAACGACUCCUCAACCACAAACGUGUGGUAUGGAGUUGAUUGCUGACUUUGCAGCCCGUGUUGCAAAAGCCGCGAAUGAUGAAUCAGAUUCCAGCUCACCAGCCCCAUCUAGCGCGUCGGAAACCGCAACCUCGCAAAAUACUUCCCCAACAUUAACUAACCUCAUACAACCAAAUCCAGAGAUCGAUAAUAAUAGUCGAUGUAAUACUGGUCCCCCAAAUCCAACGCAAAGUAUACCCAACGUCCCAAACCCUAGUAGUCAAUCGUUAGUUUCUUCUAAUACCACGGUUCAGGUAGAUCUGUGUCCGGUCAAACCAAAGGAACAUAAACCGUUGCAACUACCUGUCAGAGAGUUUCAGCCGAGACACGAAAUAAAAAUCCUGCCCGACGAACCUAAAACUAUCCCAGUUGUGAUCAACCAAGAAAUUAUUUCUUCACAGUUACCCAUACCAGUUCCAAUUUCCGAACCAGAGCAACCUGUCGCCUUUGUUCCACCCCUGAGUAUCCCUGAAGUUUCAAAUAUCUCUGUGACGGUCCAGAGCUCAAGUGUAACAACUAAUGAAGCAGUCAAUAACAUUGGAACUGCACCAAAUUCCAAUUGUGUAUCUUCAAAGGAAGAAUUCCCAACACUAGAUCCCAAGAUUUCUACAAACUCUCUGUCGCGUCGCAAAUCCCACAAUCAAGGACAGAGUCAAACCGUCGCUCAUCCUAUUCCCGAAGCUUCUCCUCCAGUGCCAAAGGAACAGAAGGACCGGAAAUCGAGUGAGAGAAACCUCAACUCUAGGGGGACGACGCCGACUCCUCUACAGAAUCAAUCCGAUCACCAUCAUCCAAAACCAAAUGGCGACACGAUCAGCGAGAAGCUUGAAAAACAUGAUCCCGAACCAAUCUCUAAAACUGAUCAGCAGCAACAGCAGACACGGUUUGUGGAUGGUAAAGCCACACAGAAGCAAAAGCAUAAGCGAAGUCAUCUUAAGAAUAGGGACGUUAUCAACCGUAAAGGUGCCGAAAAAGAGGGCACCGAGAUGGAUGCAUUUAUGCCCACCGCACCAUCUGCAAAACCCGAAGCUAAACAACCAGAGGUGGUUAAGCAAGAGAUUCAGGAAUCACUGCUUCCUAAUGACUCUGGAAAAGAAUCUACUAAGGACAUUAAAGAGGAAGAAAAUAUCGAGUCUAAAAAAGGAGCAGAGACCAAGCUUGCUCUGAAAAUUGAACAGGCUACGCCGGAAGCUUCUAAAGACAAUACUCCAGUUCAAACACCAACGGCGGAAAAACUGCCGUCAAUUGUUAACAAUAAUAAAGAAUCUUUAAAGGAAACGACCCCGACAAUUGAGGAUACAGACAGAAUAGAGGAAGUUGGUAAAAUGCCUGUUAAAACCACUGCCAAUGACGUUGUAGACCAUGCCGCUGUUUUCGAUGAUUCUGAAAUAGAAUCUGCCAUAGUAGCUCAGAAAAAUGAGGAAAAUGCUAAAGUUUCUGCUCUCCGUGAUCCCAGUGAAGAACAGCAAGAUAGCAUUCCCAUUAUAGAGAAAGAAGACGAUAAGAAUGAAGAAACCGAUCCAAAUGAAAACACGCCUAAAGGACCUGCUCUUCUAAAAUACAAUUACAAAGACGACCAAUGGAGUCCGCUGAACAAGAGUGGGAAGAAAGUCUACGAUCGGGACUUCUUAAUCAAGCUUCAGAACGAUCCAAAUAGUAAAAUAAAGCCCCUGAAUUUGCCGGAUUUGGAAGUUGUUUUGAAAGAUAACUCUAGAAAUCGUGGUGCAAUGGAUCUAAGGCAAUUGAAAGAUGCGAGUAUUGGAGGCAGGCAUGACUCUUUCCUAUUCCCUUUUGGGAAACAGUCACAAAGUAUGCGAGGUCCAGUGCCACCUAAGAGAGGCAGCCAACAGGGCAAACCCAAAAAUGCCAAACCAGUUAUCCAUGUAUCUUUAUCCUUGAGAGAAGACGUUAAGUUAAGGGAAACAGAAAAUGCAUGGAAACCGGGUCGUCUAAAAGACAGCGGUGUUAGUGAUAAUGUAGAAGAAGAUGCCAAAACAGAAGCUCUGUACAAGAGAGUGCGGGGAGUUUUGAAUAAAUUAACACCACAAAAAUUCAAUACGUUAGUGAACCAAGUUAGAGCGUUGCAAAUUGAUUCGCAAGAGAAAUUGCAAGGUGUCAUUAAUCUAGUUUUUGAAAAGGCAGUUGACGAACCCAGCUUUUCUGUAGCAUAUGCUCUCAUGUGCAAGGAACUUGCUUUGAUGCAAGUUUCUAGUUCCGAUAGUAAGGCAGGCAAAGAAGAAAGCAACGUCAACUUCCGAAAACUAAUCAUAACCCGUUGUCAAACGGAAUUUGAGAAGAAUACAGUCGAUGAAACUGUCAAAGCCGUGAAACUGAAAGAGAUUGACGAAUGUACAGAUCCAGAAAAAAAGAAAGAGCUACAGGCGGCAUUGGACGAAGAGGAGAGAAGAAUUCGUGUCAAAUCCGUUGGUAACAUCAGGUUUAUAGGAGAACUUUUCAAACAAGGAAUGUUGACGACAAAUAUUAUGCACAGAUGUAUACGUCAUUUGCUCGCUCAGAUCGACGAAGAAAAUUUAGAAUGCUUGUGCAAGCUACUUAGUACAAUUGGAAAAGACUUGGAAUCUAAGAGUCAAAAUUUGAGCGACUAUUUCAAACAAAUGCUGGAUAUUGUUAACCGCAAAUCUGCAGGUAAAGUUAGUUCGAGGGUGCGGUUCAUGCUGCAAGAUGUGAUUGAGUUGAGGAUGAACAAAUGGGUACCAAGAAGAGACGACAGCAAUCCCAAGACAAUGGCUGAAAUACAGAAGGAAGCUGAAACGGAACGUCUAGAUACACAUCUAAACAACACUCCGAUGAAUACCCCGAGAAAAGACGACCGAAACAGCGACAGGAAACGGAAUCGUGGCGGUGGGCCAGCAGAGGAAGGUGGCUGGAGCCAACCGGUCAGAAGCCGUCAACAGUAUUCCGUUGAAUCAGCUAAGCUCAAAAACAAACCUCCUCCGAUGGACGAUCUCCAAUUAGGCAAUAAAAACAUGUUUCAAUGGUCCAGAAACGUUUCUGCGGGUGCUCCUAAGACUGUCACUCCAAAUAAAUUUGCGAUGUUAGAAAACAUGCCUAGUGAACAAGACAAGCGUUCCGGAAUUCCAUUGUCUGGAUCGAGGUCCACUGGUCCUAGAGAUUAUGGUCGUCCGGAUUACAAAUCUUAUGAUGGUAGGAAUUCGAGAAACGGUAGCCAACAAUUGAGCAGUAGAUCUUCGAGUCGGGAUAGUUCACUUCACGAUGGUUCACGAAGUCAGAGCAUGUCCAUGCCUCCACCUCAAUCUAUUAAAUCGAUUCCGCCCCAAGCACCUACAUCUACCCCUAGCAAGCCAGUGCCAUCGAUGUCCGAGGAACAACUGGUCAAGAAAUCGGCGAAUAUUUUGGAAGAAUAUCUCUCCGAUACUAACAUUAACAAUGCAGCAAUAGAAGUUAAAGAAACAUUUGACAAUUCUACUUUUGCCAACUUUGUACGAGAGGUGCUGAACGGAGUUGUUGAAAAAUCAGCAACUGCCAGGAAACAAGUCAGUCAACUCAUGACGCAUCUCAUCUCUAAAAAUAUUUUGCCAUUGUCUCUCUAUAUUGCUGGUCUUGGAGAAGUCUUAGACACGGCUGAGGAUCUCGUUAUUGAUAUUCCCAAAAUUUGGAUCUACUUGGCAGAAUUAAUAUGGUAUCCACUAGCGGAAGGUGUUCUUCCGUUCUCGGAACUCAAGAACACGAUGGCUGUUUUGAAAAGUAAAGGUUUGGCCGGAAAGUUGAUGGGGGAACUCAUGAUCACGUUAGUUCAAGAAAAGAGCCCAAAAUGGAUUAAAGAUAAGUGGGAUCAAUCGGGUCUGGAAUGGAGUGACUUUCUGCAAGAAAGUGAAUCUGUAAAUGAUUUCGUCAAGAAAUACAAAUUAGAGUUCAUGUUGGGAGAUAGCAAUGUUAGUUUUGGCAGCUUGAGCGCGCAGCUGAGUAUGGAGCAAAUACAUGAACGACUUCGCGCCCUCAUGGCCAAUGAAAAGGAGAAUUCAUUUGACAAUAUCUGCAGUUGGAUUUCUGCAAACGUAGGAGAAAGAGCAAUCGAACCUCAAUUUAUCAAGAUACUGAUGUCGUCAAUUUUGGAAGUAUCGAUUGAACCCUACAAUAAUAAUACGUGGAAAUUUAGACCAGACAAGUUUCAAAAUCUACAAAAUCUAAUUCCUCGAUAUAUCGAUGUCAACGUCGAGGUUUUGGAGUUACAGUGCCUCAUUGCGAUUCAAGAAUACAUACACAAAUUAGAACACCCAUCAGGUGUACUUUUGCAAAUCAUUGAAAAGCUGUGGGAAGAUAGUAUUAUUUCGUACGAUGCAUUCCUUGCAUGGGAGAGCAACAAAGACCCGACGACACUAGCGGGAAAAUCAGUUGCCAUAAUGGCUUUAACGUCGUUCUUUACUUCCUUGAAAGAGGCGGAUGACGAAUCCAGCGGUGAUGAAGCGUGAGGAUAAGUUCAACGUUCACGGUCUCAGUUAUCAUUGCUCAAGUGUAACAUUGCGUUGCCUUUGAGCUUUCAAACUCUUGUGCGCACGAUUUACUACUUUGUGCUUGAACGUGAAAUGGAUCUUCAAACAAAUUGUGAAGAGACUAAAAAUGUAAACACGGAACGUGAUAAGCAAAAUUGCAGUUUUUUUGAAAUCCAGAACGAUGCGACAAAAAAAAUUCAUGAUAUGAACAAUCAAACGGUGGUUGUGCCGCGAGGUGUAUGUAUUAUAUUCUAGAACAACAGAAGUAAGGUAAAGUAAAGAAGAAAGUCGUAUAGGGAAAGAGUCUG